UUAUGUACAGGUUUUAUAUGUCUGAUACUACCGACUCCUUCCUAUGACACCGAUUGUUUAAGCCAAUUAGGAUUGGAUUGCUGUCUGCCGCUUCCUCUUCUCUCUUCCGACUAACACCGCCUCCCAUUCUAUCAUCCACCAUCUACAUUCUUCUCACUUCCCGAUCCUUCCACCGCCUAUUUCAUCUUCCAUCUAUUUUCAUUUGGAUCAACAAUAGCCUUAUAAAUCCGUUUCUGCUUUACCAACAAAUCGAAGACGAAAGCAACCUCAAUAGCCAAGGUUAGUUUAAUCCUUCUACCGCCUCAGAUCCCUCACCGCCCAACGUUAAUUCAGAAGAUCUCGAACCUUCUCCCAUGUCCGCCUGGUCCGAGUCACCGCCAUGACGAGAAUUCAAGGCCACUUUUGUUGAUUUCUUUCAAGUCGGCCUCCACGAACUCUAUCAUCGAACAAUCCUUAGGUUUUCCAGGCAAAGGUUUAGGAUUCGAAGGGGGUUAUGAAUGGUAGGCACGGAAACACUCAGGAAAAUGAAACCAUGAUUUUUUUCUAUGUUGCACACCAAGUGUUUGAUUUAAAUCGCCAAGGAAAUCAACCCUUCUUAGAUCAACAAAACGGCUGAUAACCUUAUUUAUAUUUGGUUUUGUUUUUGUAACAUAAGGUUUGCAGUUUGCUCUUCAUCUUCUACAAGGUACGCAUUGUUUCGUAAAGGUUGAGUUAAAGAGAAUUAAAAAUAAUUUUAGGUGAAGUCCCCUAUUUUCAUAAAUAAGUUGAGGUUUAUUGAAGGCUUUGUUGAUUUGGACACAGAUGCUACCUUCCUUUAUCAAUCUAACUCUUUAGGUUCAUGCUUCUCUGAUAUGGAUUGAAUAAGGUGGACACAAUCUAUGUUAAUCUCUAGAAACCACAAAGCCACCAAUCUGUUUAAGUGAUGGAUGAGAAGAUACUAAGAACCUUUAUAAGUGAUGGUCCUGUAUGUGAAAGGAAAUUUGCGCAAUGUUUUUGUAGCAGAGGGUGCUCCAAGGUCUGUGGUACUUUCUUUUUUAAAGUAAAGAAAAAGUUACAUUUUUUGUCCUUAAGUUUAACUGAUUUUCUCGGUUUUCCUCCCUAUGGUCUUUCAAAAGUUAUGUCUUCAGUCUAGAUGUUACAUUUUUUGCAUGGUUGGUCCGUAAAGCGUAGUUUCAUUACACCUUAGCUCCAAAGUAAAAUGACUAUUUUGACCCCAUUUUAUUCUUCUUCAAUUCAAACUCUAAAAAAGGUGUAAACUACUUUCAUCUUAUUUUUUAAAAAUGUAUGAAGGACAUAUUCUUGCAAAUGAGUUGAUUAGUGGGGGACUACAAACAACAGUAAUCACCACAUAAUACAGAUAAGAAGGAAAUGGAGACUUUACGUUCAGAAAGUAGUCAUCGGUAGAACCACAUGUACAAACGACUGGUAAAUAUAAAAGUAUUGGUGAUCAUCCAACUAAUUUGGAAGAAUAUAUCCAUCCGGUGCUUACAAUAUUGCUACAUAAGGUCUAUGUAUGUGUUCCUAAGAAAAGGAAUUUGUACAUUUUUCGGGAUCUAAAAGGAGCAUGGAAACACAUAAAAACUCUUGAAUGGAAAUGGAAAAGAGAUGGAACCAUUUGUUUUGACAAAAUUUUAUACGUAUUUACAACAAUGAAACAACAAACACGGCCACCCUAAACAACAAUAUGUGAACUAGGGCAGCACCAAAGGCAUUUUGGUCAAAGUGUGUUCUUAUUUACUAAUGCAAAACAUAGAAUGUCAUAGUUAAAAAAAACCGAUUUAUAAUGUGUUCAAGAAAAUUGAAUUUCUAAGCUAAAAAAACUGAUUUAAAAAAAACAAUAUUGGUUGUUAUUAUGGGCUCAAGUAUGGCUGGGAUAAUCAACUAAUUUUGUGGUCUAAGAAGAUCGAUCUUGAUGCUGAUUGAAUGGAUUAACAGGUGAUUGUGUAAAAUGUAAUCAAUUCUUCUAGAAGAACCCCAAGAACACAUGAGUAUUUGGCAAACCAGUUCACAAAUAGACCAACAGGUUCAAAAUUGUAAGGAUUUAUGUAAUUACAAAAUCUAAAUUACACAUGGAUUCAAUCAAUUAGGUAAUUUUUAAAAGAUAAAACCAUUUAAAUUUUACAUAAGGGAAAUUCUCAUCAAAAAACAACAGAAAGUCAAAACACUAUAUGUAAAUUUCAUCUAAACUUAACUCUGAAAUUACAUCAAUGCUGCAACAAUGGUCAUCAUCCUUGAGUUAUCAAAAAUCCAAAUAACUUCAACCUCAAAUCGGAAAUUAAAGAUGGUUACUAUAACUUCAAUCAAAAUUAGAAAUCACGAGAUAACUACUAAUCAUAAUCAUAAAUUGGAAACUCAAGAAAUUGAAAAGGUUAACAUCAUAAAUUUCAGAAAAAAUUCAGCACAGCUUCGAAGUC